UACGUAGGUGGCGAGCGUUUGUCCGGAUUUAUUGGGCGUAAAGAGCUCGUAGGCGGCUUGUCGCGUCGAAUGUGAAAACCUGCAGCUCAACUCCGAGCUUGCAGUCGAUACGGGCAGGCUAGAGUUCGGGCAGGGGAGACUGGAAUUCCUGGUGUAGCGGUGAAAUGCGCAGAUAUCAGGAGGAACACCGGUGGCGAAGGCGGGUCUCUGGGCCGAUACUGACACUGAGGAGCGAAAGCGUGGGGAGCGAACAGG
rnacentral:rRNA from 1 species